UACGUAGGGGGCAAGCGUUGUCCGGAAUUAUUGGGCGUAAAGAGCUCGUAGGCGGUCUGUUGCGUCCGCUGUGAAAACUCGGGGCUUAACCCCGAGCCUGCAGUGGAUACGGGCAGACUAGAGGUAGGUAGGGGAGAAUGGAAUUCCCGGUGUAGCGGUGAAAUGCGCAGAUAUCAGGAGGAACACCGGUGGCGAAGGCGGGUCUCUGGGCCGAUACUGACGCUGAGGAGCGAAAGCGUGGGGAGCGAACAGG
rnacentral:rRNA from 1 species